rnacentral:rRNA from 1 species
AGUGAACGCUGGCGGUAGGCCUAACACAUGCAAGUCGAACGGCAGCACAGUAAGAGCUUGCUCUUACGGGUGGCGAGUGGCGGACGGGUGAGGAAUACAUCGGAAUCUACUUUUUCGUGGGGGAUAACGUAGGGAAACUUACGCUAAUACCGCAUACGACCUACGGGUGAAAGCAGUGGAUCUUCGGACCUUGCGCGAUUGAAUGAGCCGAUGUCGGAUUAGCUAGUUGGCGGGGUAAAGGCCCACCAAGGCGACGAUCCGUAGCUGGUGUGAGAGGAUGAUAGGCCACACUGGAACUGAGCCAGGGUCCAGACUACUACGGGAGGCAGCAGUGGGGAAUAUUGGACAAAGGGGGCAAGCCUGAUCCAGCCAUACCGCGUGGGUGAAGAAGGCCUUCGGGUUGUAAAGCCCUUUUGUUGGGAAAGAAAAGCAGCAGGUUAAUACCCCGCUGUUCUGACGGUACCCAAAGAAUAAGCACCGGCUAACUUCGUG